GAUGAACGCUAGCGAUAGGCUUAACACAUGCAAGUCGAGGGGUAACAUGGGAGUAGCUUGCUACUUCUGAUGACGACCGGCGGAUGGGUGAGUAACGCGUAUGCAACUUGCCCCUUAGUGGGGAAUAACCCGGAGAAAUCCGGACUAAUACCGCAUACACUUAGUUAUCCGCAUGGAUGAUUAAGGAAAGAUUUAUUGCUAAGAGAUAGGCAUGCGUUCCAUUAGUUAGUUGGUGAGGUGAUGGCCUACCAAGACGAUGAUACGUAGCCGACCUGAGAGGGUGAUCGGCCACAUUGGGACUGAGACACGGCCCAA
rnacentral:rRNA from 1 species